UACGUAGGGGGCAAGCGUUGUCCGGAUUUAUUGGGCGUAAAGAGCGUGUAGGCGGCCAGGUAGGUCCGUUGUGAAAACUCGAGGCUCAACCUCGAGACGUCGAUGGAAACCGUCUGGCUAGAGUCCGGAAGAGGAGAGUGGAAUUCCUGGUGUAGCGGUGAAAUGCGCAGAUAUCAGGAAGAACACCUAUGGCGAAGGCAGCUCUCUGGGACGGUACUGACGCUGAGACGCGAAAGCGUGGGAGCGAACAGG
rnacentral:rRNA from 1 species